GCUUACGGCCAUACCACCCUGAACACGCCCGAUCUCAUCCGAUCUCGGAAGCCAAGCAGGGUAGGGCCUUAUUAGUACUUAGAUGGGAGACCGCCUGGGAAUACCAGGUGCUGUAAGCU
ensembl:rRNA 5S_rRNA 5S ribosomal RNA